GAAGCAGCUCUAGCCCGUGUGCAGAGCGCUGGACCUCAGGCGCAAGGCCAUGUCGCUGUCCUCAGCUGCCCACCAGCCUCUACACGUUCCCGGGGCCAGUGAUACAGACUAUGGCACACGAGGUUGAGGCAGAACUGCAGCCUGAAUUCUCAGCGAGCUCAGAGACACCUGAAAGAUCCUGGAUCCAUGGCAGAUGUCACCACCCUCCAUGAAGCUGCUCUUUAGGGCUCACUGAAGAAGCUCAUGGACAGAGGCACCCCUGGCACACAGUAGCCAGGGGGACUCUGCUAGUCCCAAGCUCAACAGCACCAGGAGAGGACAGAGCCAGCUAAAUAACUCCACACCAGCUCAGCCCUGCCUUCCCUGAUGAAUGCUCAUCCUAAUUCUGGCCCUAGCCACUUGUGUGUGGAUUCAUCCCUG
rnacentral:lncRNA from 1 species